rnacentral:rRNA from 1 species
GGACGAACGCUGGCGGCGUGCCUAACACAUGCAAGUCGAGCGGGGAUGGUAGCUGAAGGUGAUGAGCUGGAAGCUGCCAUCUUAGCGGCGGACGGGUGAGUAACACGUGAGCAACCUACCCUCAGCACGGGGAUAACAGCUCGAAAGGGCUGCUAAUACCCGAUGGGACCACGUCAUUGCAUGGUGAUGUGGUGAAAGGGUGGACGUAAGGUCCAUACCGGCUGGGGAUGGGCUCGCGGCCCAUCAGCUAGUUGGUGGGGUAACGGCCUACCAAGGCGACGACGGGUAGCCGGCCUGAGAGGGUGACCGGCCACAGUGGGACUGAGACACGGCCCACACUCCUACGGGAGGCAGCAGCGGGGAAUCUUGCGCAGUGGGCGAAAGCCUGACGCAGCGACGCCGCGUGAGGGAAGGAGCCCUUCGGGGUGUAAACCUCUUUGGACGGGGAGAAGUAGGAGAUAGUACCCGUUUAAAAAGCCACGGCUAACUACGUGCCAGCAGCCGCGGUAAUACGUAGGUGGCGAGCGUUGUCCGGAAUUACUGGGCGUAAAGGGUGCGUAGGCGGCCUGGUAAGUUGAGCGUGAAAUUUUUGGGCUCAACCCAAAAGGAGCGUUCAAGACUGCCAGGCUUGAGUGCGGCGAAGGAGGCAACGAGCGGACUGCUCGGGUGUAGGCGGGUUGAAAACGCGUUAGAAUAUAGCGAAGAAACACCAGUGGAGCGAAAUGGCGGUCCGUCUGGCCCGGUAACCUGAACGGUUGGAGGACACGGAAAGGUCGUGGGGAGAGGCAAACCAGGAUUUAGUAUACCGUGGUUAGUCCUAGGCGGUAAACGGAUGGAUGUUAGGGUGUGGGGGGAGAAGCACUUCUUCCGUACGGUAGUUAACACAAUAAGCAUCCCGCGUAGUGAGUACGCCCGCAAGAAUGUCACUCAAAGGAAUGGACGGGGGCACGCACAAGCGAUGGAGCAUGUGAUUUAAUUGGUAGCACCGCGACGAACCCUAGCAGGGCCAGACAUGCCGUGAACCGUUCAGAAAGGAGGGGGCGCGUGACCGAUGAGGUUAGGAACCCGGACACAGCUGGUUCAUGGUCGUCGUCAGCUUGUGUCGUGAGAUGUAGGUUUAAGUCCCGCAACGAGCGCAACCCCUGCCUUUAGUUGCCAGCGGGCAGAGCUGUACACUGUAAGCGGACUGCCACCGAUGAGAAGGAGGAAGGUGGGUAUGAUGUUAAAUCAUCAUGCCCCUUAGGCCACGCGCUACACACGUGGUGCAAUGGGUGGUGCAGAGGGCAGGGAAGGCGCGAGAAGGACCGAAUCCCAAAAAACCACUCCCAGUUUGGAUUGCAGGCUGCAACUAGCCUGCAGGAAGUGGGAAUAAUUAGUAAUCGCGCAUCAGCAUGCCGCGGUGAAUACGUUCCCGGGCACGUACACACCCCCCGUCACACCAUGAGAGUCAGCAACACCUGAAGACCCAGGGCAUCUGUGUUGAAGGUGGGGGUGAUGAGGGGGGU